AUGUUCUGCGCGAAGAGGGACGUGAUGCCGCCGGGCCCGGCGACACCACGUCCCUCUUCGGCUGCGUCGCGG
rnacentral:pre_miRNA from 1 species